UACAGAGGAUGCAAGCGUUAUCCGGAAUGAUUGGGCGUAAAGCGUCUGUAGGUGGCUUUUUAAGUCCGCCGUCAAAUCCCAGGGCUCAACUCUGGACAGGCGGUGGAAACUACCAAGCUGGAGUACGGUAGGGGCAGAGGGAAUUUCCGGUGGAGCGGUGAAAUGCGUAGAUAUCGGAAGGAACACCGGUGGCGAAAGCGGCGCGCUGGAUCCCUACUGACGCUGAGGCACGAAAGCCAGGGGAGCAAACGGG
rnacentral:rRNA from 1 species